AUUGAACGCUGGCGGAAUGCUUUACACAUGCAAGUCGAACGGCAGCACGGACUUCGGUCUGGUGGCGAGUGGCGAACGGGUGAGUAAUACAUCGGAACGUGCCCAUUCGUGGGGGAUAACGUAGCGAAAGCUACGCUAAUACCGCAUACGAUCUACGGAUGAAAGCGGGGGAUCGCAAGACCUCGCGCGAUUGGAGCGGCCGAUGGCAGAUUAGGUAGUUGGUGAGGUACAGGCUGACCAAGCCGACGAUGUGGAGCUGGUCUGAGAGGACGACCAGCCACACUGCGACUGAGACACGGCCCAGACUCCUCCGGGAGGCAGCAGUGGGGAAUUUUGGACAAUGGGCGCAAGCCUGAUCCAGCCAUUCCGCGUGCAGGAUGAAGGCCCUCGGGUUGUAAACUGCUUUUGUACGGAACGAAAAGGCUCUGGUUAAUACCUGGGCCUCAUGACGGUACCGUAAGAAUAAGCACCGGCUAACUACGUGCCAGCCGCCGCGGUAACAC
rnacentral:rRNA from 1 species